rnacentral:rRNA from 1 species
UACAGAGGGCUCAAGCGUUGUUCGGAUUCAUUGGGCGUAAAGGGCGCGUAGGCUGCGGGGCAAGUCGGGGGUGAAAUCUCAGAGCUCAACUCUGAAACUGCACUCGAUACUGCUUUGCUUGAGGACUGGAGAGGAGAUUGGAAUUCACGGUGUAGCAGUGAAAUGCGUAGAUAUCGUGAGGAAGACCAGUGGCGAAGGCGGAUCUCUGGACAGUUCCUGACACUGAGACACGGAGGCCAGGGGAGCAAACGGG